ACGAACGCUGGCGGCGUGCCUAAUACAUGCAAGUUGAGCGCUGAAGGUUGGUACUUGUACCCACUGGAUGAGCAGCGAACGGGUGAGUAACGCGUGGGGAAUCUGCCUUUGAGCGGGGGACAACAUUUGGAAACGAAUGCUAAUACCGCAUAAAAACUUUAAACACAAGUUUUAAGUUUGAAAGAUGCAAUUGCAUCACUCAAAGAUGAUCCCGCGUUGUAUUAGCUAGUUGGUGAGGUAAAGGCUCAACAAGGCGAUGAUACAUAGCCGACCUGAGAGGGUGAUCGGCCACAUUGGGACUGAGACACGGCCCAAACUCCUACGGGAGGCAGCAGUAGUGAAUCUUCGGCAAUGGACGAAAGUCUGACCGAGCAACGCCGCGUGAGGGAAGAAGGUUUUCGGAUCGUAAAACUCUGUUGGUAGGGAAGAACGUUGGUGAGAGUGGAAAGCUCAUCAAGUGACGGUAACUACCCAGAAAGGGACGGCUAACUACGUG
rnacentral:rRNA from 1 species